GACGAACGCUGGCGGCGUGCUUAACACAUGCAAGUCGAACGGUAAGGCCUUUCGGGGUACACGAGUGGCGAACGGGUGAGUAACACGUGGGUGAUCUGCCCUGCACUUCGGGAUAAGCCCGGGAAACUGGGUCUAAUACCGGAUAGGACUGCGCGGUGCAUGCCGUGUGGUGGAAAGAUUUAUCGGUGCAGGAUGGGCCCGCGGCCUAUCAGCUUGUUGGUGGGGUAAUGGCCUACCAAGGCGACGACGGGUAGCCGGCCUGAGAGGGCUACCGGCCACACUGGGACUGAGACACGGCCCAGACUCCUACGGGAGGCAGCAGUGGGGAAUAUUGCACAAUGGGCGCAAGCCUGAUGCAGCGACGCCGCGUGAGGGAUGACGGCCUUCGGGUUGUAAACCUCUUUCAGCAGGGACGAAGCGUGAGUGACGGUACCUGCAGAAGAAGCACCGGCCAACUACGUG
rnacentral:rRNA from 1 species